CGCCUGCCAGGGAGCAUAAUUUGAAUACAACUGGGAUAUUAAUGAUGGCAAUACGCGAAUUCGGGCGACCUUGCAUACAUCAUUCUGGGGGCCAGACAUGUCAGAGCCAGAGAAAGAACCCUUUGCGAAACAAAUCAAACAGCGAUUUGCUCUCGUUUUCGUGGUCUGGCUGCCCCGCCGACCCAUUUUCGUGGGGCAGGGGGGCUUAGAACUGCCGAAACUUUUGUUGAAUCAAUAAGCCACAAAAACAAUUUGGGUCACGUUACAGCUGGCAACCGACAUAUUCAUGACAAAAUUCCCUAUUGGUAACCGAACCGAACCAAACCAAACCGAACCGAACCCUGAAAGCCCACCAGGACACCAAAACAAUACUCGUAAAAUGUAAACAAAUGCAAAAAGAAGCCAUCAAAUUUGAAAGGCUCCACUCAAUACGGAAUUUAUUGAUGGGUCCCUGCGGCGAAACGAGUACAUGCACAUCUAGCACCAGUACUGUAUCCUGUAGCUAGUAGUCCUUGCACUCCCACCCGCAACUGUCGCCCACGUAGGAUAUAUGGCCAUACAUAUGCAAAUGAUAUGAGCCACUUGGUGCUGGUGCUGCUGCUGCUGCUGGCAGUGGCAGUGGCCGCCAGGUUGGAAACUAGAGACCUGCCAGGUAUUGGGUUACCCGACACUUGCACAUUUCUGCACCGACACCGCAGGCGAGAAGUUCGAAGAUGUACGGCACGGCAAACGAGAGAUCCCAGGAGCGUCCUGAGAGCGAGACAGCGCCCCAGGAGCGUCGCGUCGCCAGCAAUCGGCGUCCCUCUUAUGAGGCUGCAGAGCGCUCCUCCAGAGCCAUGGAUCGCUCGUCCUACGAGACUGCCUCUGCAGAGCCAGCCUCUAUAGAUCGCUCUAGGCAGCAGCUGCGUCCUCAGACGAAUGCGGAGUACUCCUCCAGCAUGGAUCGUUCAUCCUACGAGACCUCAAACGCAGAUUAUGACCGCUCCAAGCAGCAGAUGCGUCCGCAGUCGAAUUCAGAGUACUCUUUCAUGGAUCGUUCUGCUUAUGACGCAGCCACCGUGGACUACUCCAAGCAGCAGCAGCAGCAGCAGCGUCCACAGAGCACGAUUGACUAUCCCACCAGCUUUGGCACCGCUAAAGAACGCACCCUUCCGCACAGCAAUCCCCAGCCACAGCAACAGCCCCAGCCCCAACACCCACCACCCAAGCAUAAUACAGAGUACGUGCGAAAACCACAGAACUAUGUCUUGCCACCGCAGAUGCGUCCACCUGUGGGGCCGCCGCAGCAGCGUCCGCCCUUUGCGGGAGCCCGGCCGAUGGUCGGAAUGGGACCACGCCCACCCAUGCCACCGCCAAAUAUGGGGGCCAGGCAGAUGCCGCCGCCGUUGAGGAACACCGAAAGCAAGAGCAAUCUGAUAAUGGGUCCGCCGCAGAUGAGGCCGGGAAUGCCGCCACAGCUGAGUCUGCAGCAGCCACGUCCGCCCAAUGCAGGAGGACCUCUUUCGCCGCCCGGACAGGGACCUCCACGGCCGCCCGGCGGUUUCCCCUGGACGCCAUCUGGCGCGCCACCUGGCAUGCCGCCCGGUGCACGACCUCCGCAGAAUAUGACGCGACCUCCUCCGCCGACAUUUGCUCGCCCGGCACCGGGCCAGCCGCUGCAGGCGCCAUUCCGACCGACCUUCAAUCAGCAGCCCAUGCAACAGCUGCAGCAGCAGCCCCCACAUCAACAGGCCCCACCACAGCAGCAGCAGCAGCAGCAGCAGCAACAGCAGCCACACAUUCAGCAGCAGCCACAGCCUCAGCCUCAGCCACCGCCACAGCUACGCCCACCAUCGUCAAUGGGGGCACACAAUGACGAUGACGAUGACGUGAUCAUGGGUCCGGCCGUGACUCCCCUCAAGACGUUCAACAUGAAGGCCGACCCGAUGGGCUCGCCCCUGCUGGAGGACACAGAGCCACCCUUCGAGACGAGUCGAUCAUCAGCACCAGCAGAGGCCCAGAGGAAGGGAAAGGGGCCUGCUCUUAAAGGCGACAAUGACAGCGGCGUGGAUGAGUCCACACAGGAGAAGGACCGCAACGGACCCAUUUCACCCAGUUCCCCGGUCAAGACGCCCACAUCGACCUCAUCGAAGGCUGACAAGUCGGGCAUUUCGCGUCCACCGAGUGCUACGCCCUCGAACAAAUCCGCAUCGAAGUCGCGCAGUGCCUCGAAGAAUCGCUUGCUACUCAAGACCCCAGAACCCGAGCCAGUAAAGAAAGUUCCAAUGAACAAAGUACAGGUUGGACAUGCUCCUUCGCCGAACCUGAAGGCGGUGCGCUCCAAAAUCGGUUCGCUGGACAAUGCCACCUACAAGCCGGGCGGCGGCCAUGUGAAGAUCGAGUCCAAGAAGGUCGAAAUCAAGGCAGCGCCCCGCAUCGAGGCCAAGAACGACAAGUACAUGCCCAAGGGCGGCGAGAAGAAGAUAGUUACAACAAAGUUGCAGUGGAACGCAAAGUCGAAAAUCGGCUCGUUGGAUAACGCGGCCUACAAGCCCGGCGGCGGCGAUAAGAAGAUCGAGACCCUGAAGAUGGACUUCAAGGACAAGGCCAAGCCGAAGGUCGGCUCCAAGGACAACGUGAAAUAUCAGCCAGGCGGCGGUGAUAUCAAGGAUAACCAACCCAAGGAAAUACAAACGCAAAAGAUAGAAAUUAAGGCACAAAGCAAAGUUGGCUCUUGGGAUAAUGUAAAGCACAGGCCCGGUGGCGGCGAGAAGAAGAUUUUCGAUGAUAAGGAUUAUUUGAAAAAUGUUGAGCACUCUGCUGCACUGACAACACCACCAACACAGGAAUAUAUAUACCAAUUUUAUUAGGCUAGUCCAUACGAAACUAAGUGCAUUAAUUCGAAAUCCGUAUACAUGUUACGUCCAUUAGAGUUAUUUAUCAUCCACUGCUACAAUCGUACUACUACUUUAAGAGUAUACUCUCAGAAUACGAAGCGGUUUUAAGCAAUAUAGAAACAUUCGAUCAUCGAUCAAAGAGCAUCCUCCAGUCCACUACCAUCCAUGACGGCUUCUGGCGCUGAUGAGAAUUUAAAUCAACAAAGCUAAAUGCUAAGUGCCGAAAAUGCAUGUUGAGGUUGAGCUGAAUCUUUUCUUUGCAAUAUAGGAAUGAAACCAAUCCAAACCGAACAUUGAACAUUGAAUAUUGAACAAGCGCUAAUUUGAAAAGUAUAUCUUAAGCAAACAAAAAUGCCUGCACACAUUGGCAAAAUCGAUGCAAAAUAUGCAAUAAUUUCCACACCCACAUCACACCACAACCAGACAUGUAAUGAGAGCCGGAGCAUACGGUUCGAUUCCAACUGAUGCACUGAGAUACAGAUGCAUCCACACCACCAGAUACCCACAUCACAUAGAAGCGGUAUUCAAGAAUCAAGAGUAUAUUUGACUAGUUGAGCAGUGCACUCUUUAUCAUACAGAUACAAGACAUAAAUUAUAUAUCUCAAUGUAUUACGAAAACCCCAUAUAUACAUACAAAUAUAUAUACAUUUAUAUAUACAUAAAAGUAUCUAAAUAUUUAAGCGAAUUAUACAAGAAAUCCAAUCGUAAACUGUGUGUGCUUAGUUGAAAAUGUUGAACGACACUUAAACGUAAAAGUAAACGUAAACUUAAACGCAAACGCAAACCCACUUGACGACUACCCUUAAUGUUAAACAGUUGAACUAUUCGUACUCGUAUAAUACAAGACCUAUGACCUAUCCGAUUUAGAUACUUUUGCGAACAGCCCAACCCAACCCAAAAACAGAACAGAACAGAGAACUUCAACCGAACAGAACCGAAAAGAAAUGAACACGUAUAAGCAUAUUAUUACUAUUAAUUUGUAUCUUAUUAGUAAAGCGCAUCAUUCUCACAAUUUAUUUACACCCUGUUACAAAAUGUAAGAUCAAUGGCAAAAAUUUAAACAUAAUAAAACCGACAAAAAAACGUUUUUUCAUUUACCAAAA